AGGAACACAUCGGAUUCUACUGGUCGUGGGAAUACGUAGGGAAACUUACGCUAAUACCGAUACGACCUACGGGUGAAAGCGGGACGCAAGGCGUCGCGCGAUUGGAUAAGCCGAUUUCCGAUUAUUAGUUGGGGGGUAAGGCCCACCAAGGCGACGAUCGGUAGCUGGUCUGAGAGGACGACCAGCCACACUGGAACUGAGACACGGUCCAGACUCCUACGGGAGGCACAGUGGGGAAUAUUGGACAAUGGGCGCACCUGACCCAGCCAUGCCGCGUGGGUAAAGAAGGCCUUCGGGUUGUAAAGCCCUUUUGUCCGGAAAGAAAAGCAUCCGGUUAAUACCCGGGUGUUGAUGACGGUACCGGAAGAAUAAGCACCGGCUAACUUCGUGCCAGCAAGACCGACGGUAAUACGAAGGGUGCAAGCGUUACUCGGAAUUACUGGGCGUAAAAGCGUGCCGUAGGUGGUUCGUAAGUCUGUCGUGAAAAUCCCCGGGCUCAACCCUUGGGAAAUGGCGAUGGAUACUGGCGGGCUUAAAGUGCGGUAAAGGGAGAGUGGGAAUUCCCGGGUGUACGCAAGUGAAAUUGCGGUAAGAUCGGGA
rnacentral:rRNA from 1 species